AUUGAACGCGGCGGCAUGCUUUACACAUGCAAGUCGGACGGCAGCAUAAAAGAGCUUGCUCUUUUGAUGGCGAGUGGCGAACGGGUGAGUAAUGCAUCGGAACGUACCGAGUAGUGGGGGAUAACUGUCCGAAAGGAUGGCUAAUACCGCAUAUUCUCUGAGGAGGAAAGCAGGGGACCUUAGGGCCUUGCGCUAUUUGAGCGGCCGAUGUCUGAUUAGCUAGUUGGUGGGGUAAGAGCCCACCAAGGCGACGAUCAGUAGCGGGUCUGAGAGGAUGAUCCGCCACACUGGGACUGAGACACGGCCCAGACUCCUACGGGAGGCAGCAGUGGGGAAUUUUGGACAAUGGGCGCAAGCCUGAUCCAGCCAUGCCGCGUGUAUGAAGAAGGCCUUCGGGUUGUAAAGUACUUUUGUCAGGGAAGAAAAGCCUGAGGAUAACACCCUCAGGUCAUGACGGUACCUGAAGAAUAAGCACCGGCUAACUACGUGCCAGCAGCCGCGGUAAUACGUAGGGUGCGAGCGUUAAUCGGAAUUACUGGGCGUAAAGCGAGCGCAGACGGUUAUUUAAGCAAGAUGUGAAAGCCCCGGGCUCAACCUGGGAACUGCGUUUUGAACUGGGUAACUAGAGUGUGUCAGAGGGGGGUAGAAUUCCACGUGUAGCAGUGAAAUGCGUAGAGAUGUGGAGGAAUACCGAUGGCGAAGGCAGCCCCCUGGGAUAACACUGACGUUCAUGCUCGAAAGCGUGGGUAGCAAACAGG
rnacentral:rRNA from 1 species